UCGGGAAUCUUGCACAAUGGGCGAAAGCCUGAUGCAGCAACACCGUGUGAGCGAGGAAGGCCUUCGGGUCGUAAAGCUCUGUUGUUGGGGACGAAGGGCGAAGGGUUAAUAGCCCCUAGCCUGACGGUACCCUUCGAGGAAGCCCCGGCUAACUACGUGCCAGCAGCCGCGGUAAUACGUAGGGGGCGAGCGUUGUCCGGAAUUAUUGGGCGUAAAGAGCGUGUAGGCGGCCAGGUAAGUCUGUCGUGAAAUGCUGGGG
rnacentral:rRNA from 1 species